rnacentral:rRNA from 1 species
UACGUAGGGUGCAAGCGUUGUCCGGAAUCAUUGGGCGUAAAGCGCGCGUAGGCGGCCCGAUAAGUCCGCUGUAAAAGUCAACGGCUCAACUGUUGAAAGCCGGUGGAUACUGUCGGGCUAGAGUACGGAAGAGGCAAGUGGAAUUCCUGGUGUAGCGGUGAAAUUCGUAGAUAUUAGGAAGAACACCGGUGGCGAAGGCGGCCCACUGGUCCGGUACUGACGCUGAGGUGCGAAAGCGUGGGGAGCAAACAGG